GCUUUGAAGCGUGGACGCCAGUUCGCGUGGAGCCAUCCUUGAAAUACCACCCUGGCAACUUUGAGGUUCUAACUCAGGUCCGUUAUCCGGAUCGAGGACAGUGUAUGGUGGGUAGUUUGACUGGGGCGGUCUCCUCCUAAAGAGUAACGGAGGAGUACGAAGGUGCGCUCAGACCGGUCGGAAAUCGGUCGUAGAGUAUAAAGGCAAAAGCGCGCUUGACUGCGAGACAGACACGUCGAGCAGGUACGAAAGUAGGUCUUAGUGAUCCGGUGGUUCUGUAUGGAAGGGCCAUCGCUCAACGGAUAAAAGGUACUCCGGGGAUAACAGGCUGAUACCGCCCAAGAGUUCAUAUCGACGGCGGUGUUUGGCACCUCGAUGUCGGCUCAUCACAUCCUGGGGCUGAAGCCGGUCCCAAGGGUAUGGCUGUUCGCCAUUUAAAGUGGUACGCGAGCUGGGUUUAGAACGUCGUGAGACAGUUCGGUCCCUAUCUGCCGUGGACGUUUGAGAUUUGAGAGGGGCUGCUCCUAGUACGAGAGGACCGGAGUGGACGAACCUCUGGUGUUCCGGUUGUCACGCCAGUGGCAUUGCCGGGUAGCUAUGUUCGGGAAAGAUAACCGCUGAAAGCAUCUAAGCGGGAAACUUGCCUCAAGAUGAGAUCUCACUGGAACCUUGAGUUCCCUGAAGGGCCGUCGAAGACUACGACGUUGAUAGGUUGGGUGUGUAAGCGCUGUGAGGCGUUGAGCUAACCAAUACUAAUUGCCCGUGAGGCUUGACCAU
rnacentral:rRNA from 1 species